GACGAACGCUGGCGGCGCGCUUAACACAUGCAAGUCGAGCGAAGCGGCGGACGUGUGAGUAACACGUGAGUAACCUUCCUUAGACAUUUGGAUAGCCUCGGGAAACCGGGGUUAAUACCAAAUGGUCUAAGAUGGACUAGCGUCCCAUUAGCUAGUUGGUGGGUAACGGCCCACCACGGAGACGAUGGGUAGACGGCAUGCGAGGGGGAACGGCCACAUGUGAACUGAGAAACGGUCCAAAAUAUACGGGAGGCAGCAGUGGGGAAUAUUGCACAAUGGAGUGAAUGCUGAUGAUGCGACGACUCGUGAACGAAGAAGGCUUUCGAGUCGGAAAGUUCUUUUAUAUGGGAAGCGGUACCAUAAGAAAAAGCCCCGGCUAACUACGUGCCAGCCGCCGCGGUAAUUC
rnacentral:rRNA from 1 species